GAUGAACGCUAGCGGCAGGCCUAACACAUGCAAGUCGAGGGGUAGAAUUAGCUUGCUAAUUUGAGACCGGCGCACGGGUGCGUAACGCGUAUGCAAUCUACCUUGUACAGAGGGAUAGCCCAGAGAAAUUUGGAUUAAUACCCCAUGGUAUAAUUAAUUUGCAUGAAUUGAUUAUUAAAGUUCCAACGGUACAAGAUGAGCAUGCGUCCCAUUAGCUAGUUGGUGUGGUAACGGCAUACCAAGGCGACGAUGGGUAGGGGUCCUGAGAGGGAGAUCCCCCACACUGGUACUGAGACACGGACCAGACUCCUACGGGAGGCAGCAGUGAGGAAUAUUGGUCAAUGGUCGGAAGACUGAACCAGCCAUGCCGCGUGCAGGAAGAAGCAUCUAUGGUGUGUAAACUGCUUUUGUACGGGAAGAAACACUCCUACGUGUAGGAGCUUGACGGUACCGUAAGAAUAAGGAUCGGCUAACUCCGUG
rnacentral:rRNA from 1 species